rnacentral:rRNA from 1 species
GACGAACGCUGGCGGCGUGCUUAACACAUGCAAGUCGAACGGAAAGGCCCUGCUUGCAGGGUGCUCGAGUGGCGAACGGGUGAGUAACACGUGGGUGAUCUGCCCCUUACUUUGGGAUAAGCCUGGGAAACUGGGUCUAAUACUGGAUAGGACCAUGCUGUAGGUGGUGUGGUGGAAAGAUUAGUUUCGGUAAGGGAUGAGCUCGCGGCCUAUCAGCUGUUGGUGGGGUAAUGGCCUACCAAGGCGUCGACGGGUAGCCGGCCUGAGAGGGUGGACGGCCACAUUGGGACUGAGAUACGGCCCAGACUCCUACGGGAGGCAGCAGUGGGGAAUAGUGCACAAUGGGCGCAAGCCUGAUGCAGCGACGCCGCGUGGGGGAUGACGGCCUUCGGGUUGUAAACUCCUUUCAGCCAUGACGAAGCCCUUGUGGUGACGGUAGUGGUAGAAGAAGCACCGGCUAACUACGUG